GGGAAGAUCACGGUCGAUCACGAAAGGACUCAUAAUCCGUCGGCCGUGGGUUCGAGUCCCACCCGCCCCA
rnacentral:tRNA from 1 species